UUGAGGGAAUUCAUUACUGAGACACCAAUAUGGCAGGGAGAUUACAGUCAACUGGGUUUUGCUUUUCAGGGUUUCAGUGGAGGGGCCGCCAAUUUCCGACAACUUGUCAGACCACCCCAGUAGUCGAACUCGUAUGCACUGGCUUAACCAUCUUGACCAGCCUUCUGGAGACCAGGCAUUUCCCAGAGUUGCUCAUGGCCUGAUCAACCAUGACACAAGGGAAAGCACUGGGACGUGACAGAUCGUUGGGUGGAUGAGUGUUGGUGUAGAGUUGGCCCGGGGUGGAAUUGAAUUGCGACUGCAGCCAAGAGAAGGAAGGACAACAGAGCCCCUGAGGAGCCGUUUGAAUAUUCUUAGGAAGAAAAUAUUCUAUUCCCUGGAGCUUGAGACUGGAAUGAGAAGUACUGAAGAAGAGGGUCGAAUGGAGGUCUGAGGACUAAGAGGGAAGCCUUGUGUCACUGGAUGAAAGAUGUCUGUGGUCCUAUGGAAACUGAGGUGGAGGCCCGUGGGCAACAGAUCAGGGAUCAGUUCUUCCCGGGAGUCAAAAUGGAGGGGCGAAUUACUGUCUACGGAGAACUUGUGAGACCACCCCCACAAAGCAACUCGGAAGACCGUUGUGACUGCAUUCUUUGGAAGGAGCCAAGACAGUGAAUAUUCCCAGGUAAUUUUUUUUUUUUUGAGAUCAUUUUUAAUAAUAUUAUUUUCUCAUUUUCAUAGCUGUCAAAGCUUUGAGGGAAUUCAUUAUUGAGACACCAAUAUGGCAGAGAGAUUAU